AUACGGAGGGGGCGAGCGUUGUUCGGAAUUACUGGGCGUAAAGGGCGCGUAGGCGGACAAUCAAGUCAGAGGUGAAAGGCCUGGGCUCAACCCGGGAACUGCCUUUGAAACUGAAGGUCUAGAGUCCGAGAGAGGAUAGCGGAAUUCCCAGUGUAGAGGUGAAAUUCGUAGAUAUUGGGAAGAACACCAGUGGCGAAGGCGGCUAUCUGGCUCGGAACUGACGCUGAGGCGCGAAAGCGUGGGGAGCAAACAGGAUUAGAAACCCGAGUAGUCC
rnacentral:rRNA from 1 species